UGCGAGCGUAGUUCAACGGUAGAACAAUGCCCUUUGAUUGCUAACUAACCAGAUAUUUAGAGAUGCAGGUUCGACUCCUGCCGCUCGCAU
rnacentral:tRNA from 1 species